rnacentral:rRNA from 1 species
UAGGUCCCAAGGGUAUGGCUGUUCGCCAUUUAAAGUGGUACGCGAGCUGGGUUUAGAACGUCGUGAGACAGUUCGGUCCCUAUCUGCCGUGGGCGCUGGAGAAUUGAGGGGGGCUGCUCCUAGUACGAGAGGACCGGAGUGGACGCAUCACUGGUGUUCGGGUUGUCAUGCCAAUGGCACUGCCCGGUAGCUAAAUGCGGAAGAGAUAAGUGCUGAAAGCAUCUAAGCACGAAACUUGCCCCGAGAUGAGUUCUCCCUGAGACUUUAAGUCUCCUGAAGGAACGUUGAAGACGACGACGUUGAUAGGCCGGGUGUGUAAGCGCAGCGAUGCGUUGAGCUAACCGGUACUAAUGA